ensembl:lncRNA
AACCCAGAAAGCAGGUUCAGGAAAACAGUGCUGCCUAGACCUGAGCUGUGACGGGGAGGGCUUGCGACUCGGGUAUAUGAAACUGGAAAGUCCAAGAGUAGAGGACCGUUUAGUCAUGCGCGGAUACAGAUAAUGUCAUCCAUCAAGAGUUCGUAUGUAUCGCUCAGCUUUGCAUUCUCCUGCACGGGCUUAUUCCCAGUCUGGUUAAGCUUAAGCUGAAUGUGGCUGCCGUCAACACCAGGCUUCCACCAGGCUUCCGCCCUACCAGAGAACUGAUUGCUAAACUUUUUCGAGCACACCGCUGCCCAUCGAUGAAGUUGUUUCCUACUACCGCUUUGAAUCUCCCCAGAGCCGAAGUUUUCUCUGUGUUAGACACUGGAGGAGGGACUGUGGGACACGUGAGGGACAAAGGCACCUGGCCUGCUUGAGCUGGCUCUUGGGACCUCACAGAGAGAAGAAAGAGACAGUCUUUCUAGCCAUUCCUCUGCAGGUCCUAAGGGUGGAUCUUAUUCAUCAUAAGACUACAUGUGAAAAGCAUAAAGAUCUGUUAUUUCUUUGGACUGCCUUCCUAUGGCGUUCUUCUGCUCUGGUACUCUGGAGCUAUAUUCCAUCUCCCAGCGCUUGCUUCAGGCCGUCUUCAGUUCGAUAGCCUAUUAUCCCUCCUUUUUAUGCACCCCUACCCCUAGGUUAACAAUCUAGCAGCUCUGGCCCACAGCACGGGAGCCAGACUCUCCCCACAC